rnacentral:SRP_RNA from 1 species
UCGCGCUAAGCGGGGAGCUGGCGGUUCCCUGUACCUGCAAUCCGCCAUAGCAGGGCUGAACUCUGGCUCGAGGCGGGACAGCCGCAAGACCCGCCGCGCACGCGCCCGUGUGGAUCAUCGGGACUUACGCAACGGAGGGAUGGUGAACCCCGCCAGGUCCGGAAGGAAGCAACGGUAAGUCGUUUCCCCGUGUGCCGUAAGCCCCCCGAUGGGAGCGGGCGGCGACGCGACGCCUUGCUACGCGCCGUCGACAGCCAGUGCGCGA